CAAAAAGUGUGAUAUUCAACUUAAAUUCGAUCCUACUUUUUAUAGCCAACUGAGUGGGAAAUUCGACAAGAACGGGGGGAAAAAAUGUCCCACCCAGUUGGAAAUUCGACCGGAAAUAAUCAAAAUUUCUGAGCCUCACGUUUCGGCAGUUUGACAGAUGAAAUUAAAUACGGUUUAUCUAGAACUACAGGGGAUUUAAGACGCCAUUUUGCCGAUACCGGAAUAUUGGAAAGAAGCUUCUAAACAAGAGUUGGCGAGAUCUCACAAAGGUACAUACAUACAUAUUUUCAACAUUAAAGAAUGGACAGGCCUGCCAUUGAGAGAGGUUCUAAACAAGGCAAAAAAAAGGGAGGAAUGGAGAAAGACGGUCAACAAAUCUUGCCCUGUGCCCCAACGGUCCAACAGACUAAGGAAUAGGUAAAGGGGUAAAGGACGAAGGUAAUAUAUCUCCCUGACGACAAAUAUAGCCAUGGACUUUGUAUCGAAUCUUUGUGUAAUUUAUUUUCUUAUUCAAGUUAAUCAAAUAUUUGCACAAUGUCCUCAAGGCAUGUUUGGCGCGAAUUGCAAAGACAUGUGUCACUGUGAUGACUAUUCAUGUAACACUGAAGGCGAAUGUAAUACCUGUAAUUUUCUGACAUUUAGUUACAAAUGUCAAUACUUUAAUAGAUUUUACGAAGCCAAAACAGACAUAGCAAAUAUUGAUAUAACUGACAUAUUAUCUGAUGGCAAUGAUUCGACAUGCACCUCCCUAACAGGAGAAAACAUCAUUAUAGAUCUUAGUGGUCGUUUUUCUGUAACUUGGCUUAGAUUUGUAACUUCAAAACCAGAUGACCUGCAGUACGGUUUCAACAUUACCUUCCAAGAUGACAAAUCACAAUCAGUGAAUCUUUCAGGAAACGAAACUCUAAUUGUCGUUGAUAAAACCAUCGACGUUCAUUUUCAGCUGAAUUCUGAAUUCAUACAAUAUAUUAUUUUAGGUGGAAAAGUGGUACAAGAAAUGUGCACACUAUUUAUAAGCUCAGGUCAAUUAGUUUCCUUAGGAAAAACUGCAUACUACAGUACACCUAGCACAGAUACCUUUAAGAUUCUGUUUCCAGAAGCUUUAGAUUUUGAAGAGUUUACAUCUGAAAAAUAUAAUGUCGAUGGUGGUACACUGUGGGAAAUUGAUCUGGAAUCUUCCUACAUUGUUCAAAAUUUUCAGAUUUAUUUUGAUGAUGCAGUCUUUUCCAGAGCUGUAAUAGAAGCAAGUGACAGUGGUGGCACCUUGAUCUACACUCGGAUAGUUGAAUAUUAUCAGAAAAGAUAUAUUUUAUUUUAUUCUUCGGUAACAACACCAGUACGAUAUAUAAACUUUAUUGCUGAAGAUGCAAAUAAUUCAAGUUUAACUAUUCUAUUACACGAGUUAAAGGCUUUCGGUGAGUGCCCAGAAGGAUCUUGGGGUGUUCAGUGCAGGGAAAACUGUAGCAGUGACUGUCCAGAGUCCUGCCGUUUUGACGAUGGACUUUGUACUAAAUAUUGCCUCGGUUAUAGUGACCCACCAAAAUGUCAAACAGUAUGUAAUAUUGGAACAUGGGGUGUAAACUGUUCCAAUCCAUGCAGCAAUAGAUGCUUAAAUCAAACUUGUGACAGAAUAACUGGGAAAUGCAAUAAAGGAUGUCUUGGCUACAAAGAUACACCAGACUGUACCAUUGAAUGUGACACUGGUUCAUGGGGUAUAAAUUGUGCCUCUAACUGUAGCAAAUGCUUUAACUCUACCUGCAACAGUCUGACAGGCUUGUGUGAUCAAGGAUGUUUAGGUUACAGAGACCCACCUGACUGUUCUAUUGAAUGUGAUACUGGAACCUGGGGUGUCAACUGCUCAAGUCAAUGCAGCGAUAAAUGCUUCAAUAAAUCUUGUGACAGCAUAACUAGCAAAUGUGCUCAUGGAUGUCUUGGCUUUAGCGAUCCACCAGACUGUACAACUAAAUGUGACACUGGUUCAUGGGGUAUAAAUUGUGUCUCUAACUGUAGUAAAUGCUUUAACUCAACCUGCAACAGUCAAACUGGAUUGUGUGAUCACGGAUGUUUAGGUUACAGAGACCCACCUGACUGUGCGAUUGAAUGUGACACUGGUACAUGGGGUAGAAAUUGUGGCACUAACUGUAGCAAAUGCUACAAUUCAAUAUGUAACAGUAAAACUGGAUUGUGUGAUCAAGGCUGUUUAGGAUACAGUGACCCACAGAGCUGUGAAUUGGACUGUGACACUGGUACAUGGGGUAGAAAUUGUGCCUCUAACUGUAGCAGAUGUUUUAAUUCAACAUGCAACAGUACAACUGGCUUGUGUGAUCAAGGAUGUUUAGGUUACAGCGACCCACCUACCUGUAUGACGGAAUGUGGAUCUGGAUAUUGGGGCUUGAAUUGCACCUAUCGAUGCAGCGAUAAAUGUAUACAUAAAUCAUGUGACAGAAAAAGCGGUGUAUGUGAUAAUGAUGAUGGCCUUAACCUUAGUAACGUCAGAGUUUAUCAAGCGAAGCUACCAUCGCCAUUGCAGUUAGUCUAUCAUUGUUUGGACUCAUAGUAGUUAUAGUAGUCUUUGUUGUAUUGAAGAACAAAGGCGUGGCAUGUUUUGGUACAGCCGCUGCAGUAGUGCCACAGAACUAAAGAACGGCAAUAAAUGUCGUAACAAAAUGUCCAAGGUAAAAAAAAAAAUGCAUUUCAAAAACAUAGAGAGCAGGACAGGGGAAGAAACACGGGAAAGAGGGGAUAAAGAGAGAAAGAGACAAAGGGAGAAUAGAAAGAGAAAAAAAAAAGGAGAAAGUGUAAAAAUUGAUAAGAGCUAAAUAGACAAAGAGGGAGAAGAGAAAUGCACGAAAGAGUGAUGGAAAUAAAGAGAGGAAGAGUUGAAGACAUAUACAGUGAUAAAGUUCAGAGUGAAACGGAUUAAAAUGUAAAAAGGGGAGUGUGUUUAUUUCUGAAACAAAAAAAGAAAGGUUUAGCCUCUGUCCAAUACUUAUCAAUUUUUAUCUUUUGAAUUUCCAUCUCUAAAUUGUUUUUAUGUAAAAAAAAAAUUGUAAAAGAGGAGAAGAAGAUAGAAAGAAAGUUAAACUAACUUAGCAAGAACUAUUGUGCUUUCUGACAUCGAAUAUUCAAUGGCUUCAUUAAAGUAUUAAGGCUUCCAUCAUUUUCGAAGCGACUAUUUAUCAUCCAAUAGAAGCAAGAUGAAUGCCUGGGCAUGAGCUAUGGUCUCAACGAUGUCGCCCACAUAUCUGUUUCCCCCUCGCCACGCAGCUGAUGUAUCCAAAGGAGUGGCAAGUCGAAGGCUCUGCCAGGAUGUAUCACUAUGUGCUGCAAACUGCCUAGGUGUCCCAGAUCCAAAUUCGUUCUUCACUGUUGACUGCAAACUGCCUAGGUGUCCCAGAUCCAAAUUCGUUCUUCACUGUUGACUGCAAACUGCCUAGGUGUCCCAGAUCCAAAUUCGUUCUUCACUGUUGACUUCUAAAGCCUUCCCCAUGAUUGGUUAGAGCUUCUUGCAUUAAGUAAAAAUUGUAUGAACGUAUGUUUCCAUUGCUUUGGUUGUUAUGUUUUGUUAUGCUUAAUGCACACAUUGUAAGACAAAUAUCGCGAUGAUAAUGAUAUUAUUUAAUAAUAAUAUUAUUAUUAAUAUUAUUAACAUUAUUUUCGGCUGAAUUAACGGUCAAGCCAAAGACAUUAGACGUUUAGACAGUCUCUAAGAGAAUAUGAUUUAAUAUUUUUAUCUAUGUAUCUAUCUCUUUACCUAUCUAUGUAUCUUUAAAACUCUCUCUCUCUCUCUCUCUUUCUUUCUUUAUAUAUUUAAUAAUUUAUUUUACAGCAGAUUACUACUGGUUACCUAUGAAGUCAUUCAAGGCAAAGAUAUAAUUAUCUAGAUGUACUCAUACAAAACAUUAGUAUCUCUCUUUCUUUUUUAAAACAUUAUUAUAAAAUUUACAAACCAAAUGCAUUAAAACGGCUACGCAAAAAUGACAUGGUGCGCCUCUGUCAUUAUAAAUCAUUCUUCAUUUCUCUCUGGUAUUUACAUGAACUAGAAUUUCUUUCACUGACAAACCCGUCCAUUCUCUCUAUCAAUGACAAGCCCGUCCAUUCUCUCUAUCAAUGACAAGCCCAUCCAUUCUCUCUUUCAAUAACAAGCCCAUCCAUUCUCUCUUUCAAUAACAAGCCCGUCCAUUCUCUCUUUCAAUAACAAGCCCAUUCAUUCUCUCUUUCAAUAACAAGCCCAUCCAUUCUCUCUUUCAAUAACAAGCCCGUCCAUUCUCUCUUUCAAUAACAAGCCCGUCCAUUCUCUCUUUCAAUAAAAAGCUCGUCCAUUCUCUCUAUCAAUGAUAAGCCCAUCCAUUCUCUCUUUCAAUAACAAGCCCAUCCAUUCUCCCUUUCAAUAACAAGCCCGUCCAUUCUCUCUUGUUGUCUUCCUAUCACUUUCUUGUUCACUGUUCCCUGCUGAAAGGCUUUUUUGAGGUCACAGCGAAUAAAGGAGCUAGCUUACACAAUAUCAAGAGGAGUCUGUUUCAUGUGUUUCAUAUGAUCGAAUCUUACUAUAUUUUAAACCAAACCUUGCACAGGACGAUGGAGGUUGGAAGCAAAGCAGGGUUGAAACUGUGGAUGAUCCUGACGAAAGUUUAGAGCUAAUACCAAUAGAACAUAAGAACAGGCAGCCAUCCCAUUGUGUCACCUGGUUGGUCGUUAGCGUUUUUGUGUCCAGUACUAUGGUGGAGAUGUGGAGUCUUGAGAUACGAGUUAUAAGUGAUAUAUUUGGGGCUUUUUCUUUAAUUCCAUUUAUCUAACUCACCAUUUCUUUCAUUUAAACAUAUUAAUAGUGCUGUCAUUAUUUAUGUAAAUGUGAUAUUUGUAUGCACCAUUCCUGAUUUCAGCACUGAACUAUAUACAUUUCUGUUAGUUUUUAAUACACAUUUUUUUAUUGUUGGAAUAUGAUCUUAUUAGAAUAAAUAAAAUAUAUAAUUGUUUUAUAAAUUCUUUUAGAUUUUUUUUAUGGUAAUCUGCUUACCCACCCAUGUAUCGAGUGAUUUACUUACUUUACACCAUCAUAUAUUUAUUAAUCUCACACAGCGGUUACGCCUGAUGGAUUUUUCCUCUAUCUUAUCUUAUCUUAUCUUAUCUUAUAAAAUACAGACAUUACUUCAAAAAAGAAGAUGAUUACGUCCUACGCGUCAUGCAUUUAGUCAUGCAUAUUAACCAAAGACUUAAAUUCAGCCAAAUCACUGGUUUUCCUGGCUAGCUCAGGCAACCCAUUCCAUGCUCUAAUAGCACUAGGGAAGAAGGAGUGUUUCUACAAAUUUGUCCUAGCAUAUGGGACAAGGAAUGUGCCUUUAUCAUUGUGUAUUUCAGAGUAUUUUAUUAAAUUUUGUUUUUGUAUUUGAA